rnacentral:lncRNA from 10 species
GUUUGCCCCCCUUGCCAGAAGCCUCAGUUCUGUCCUCCCGCAGGGAAUGGUGCCCCACACUGAGAAUCAGAACUGAAGACACAGCACUCAUUUUCCAGAUGGGAAAAGGGAGAAACAGCAAAAUACCAAUGUUGCUCAGGGCCGCGCCUGCCGGGCUGGUCUGGACCCAGCUGGGCUGCCUCUCCCUUGGCCUCCUGCUGUCGCCACUGAGCAUCACCUGGGCAUGGCCACCCUGCCAGGGGCUGGAUGCUUGUCCAGGGUGGUGAUAGCUCCUUCCUGGGCCCUUCCCCAUGUGGCACAGGGGAGCUGUGUUGGGUCCGCACCGCUCAUCUGUCUUCAUGAUACCGAAGUCGGGGUGUUUUGGGUUUCUGAGUGGGCAUGGAGGCUGAUUUCAGCACAGCGGAGUCAACUCCAGCUUCUGUUUCUCACCUGUGGAAUGAGGAGGAGCCAGGAGAUGGGCCGUCUGAACCCUCCCGACCCCAAGCAGCUGGAGGGGUCAGGAUGUGUCCACAGAGGGGAGUGGGACGUGGACGUUGCUGGCUCCUCUCUCGCCAUGGUACUCACAGCUCACCCCCCAGAAACGCUACCCCUCAAGACUUGCCCAUUUUGGUCUCCUCAUUGAUGGGCUUUCCCUGAUCCCCAUCCCCCCGGGUGCCCCCACGCCCCUGAUCGCUCCUGCAGGGCCUCAGCACAGGUUCCCAGCACACACGUGUGUGAUUUGCAGGUUGUCGACAUUGGCCUGCCUGCCAGGUGGUGCACAGGGCUGUGUCCUGAUGCAGAGACUGCCAGGUAACCCCAACCUUCCCUUUUUACUCAGUGCAAGAGUCCAGCUCUUAGCUGAGAACACAGCCCCUGGGGUGGAACAUGUCCUAGCCUCCUCUGCAGCUCGAAGUACCCGAGACCCAGCUGUGGCCAAGGGGGGCUGUAAGCAGAGGUGAGGUGUGCAAAAUCCAGGCAGCAUCCCUAAAAGCACGGGUUGCAAGGUUGGGAAGAGUAUGCCAAUGUUUCCUCCCUGCUGGCUGAAAGCAGACAUGAUGGCUGGAGCUUCAACAGCCGUCUGGUACCGUGAGGCAAAAGGCCUAUUUGGGGAUUGAUGGGGCAACCAGACUAAGGGGGCCUGGGGUCCUGAUGAU